rnacentral:lncRNA from 1 species
UAGCUACAUUUGUUUAUGUUUUCAGACUUUGUGACUAUCUUAUAAUUUCUCUGCUCACCCACAUUCUUUUCUUGGGGUGUGCUCUUGAAAAAACCCAAACUAAAGUGCUUAACAUCCUUGGGGACCUACAACCCACUUAAUAAACCUUUACUUCUCUUGCUUGUAAAUAAUAUGUACUGACUAAGUUCCAUAUGAGUGACAUUAUUGAGCAUGACCCUACUCUGCAUUUGGGGCAAAGGGCUUAUGGAAAGCAGCAUACAAAAAUGAGUUGUGUUUAGCUGAAAGGCAUAGAUGUGAGUUUCUUGGCAUUAGGUAUAAUCGUAAAUAAAAGAACCUUAAAAUAGUAAGUAACCAGAGUGACAGCUCUUGGCCAUCAGUGUUACCUAGUUUUCUUCUAUUACAGCAUUGUUCAAUAAUUUCAGCAGUAAUGUAAAUACUCUAGAUUUGCAUUGGCCAUUUUGGUAGCUACUAGCUCUGUGAGGCUAAUUAGCAUUUGGAAUGAGACUAAUAUUACCUAAGAACUGAAUAAUAAAUUAUAUUUAAUUUUCAUAAAUUUAAACUAAAAUAACCACUUGUGGCUGGUAUCUAGCAUAUUGGACAGUGCAGUUCUAGUGUUUCCUAUCUUAGUUGAGUGGUGCUGCCUUCCAUUUGUGUGUUUUGUAAGUCAGAAACC